ACGCUCGACACCUACGGGAGCCAGCAGUGGGGAAUAUUGGGCAAUGGGCGCAAGCCUGACCCAGCAACGCCGCGUGAAGGAAGAAGGCCCUCGGGUUGUAAACUUCUUUUAACAGGGACGAAGCAAGUGACGGUACCUGUUGAAUAAGCCACGGCUAACUACGUGCCUGCAGCCGCGGUAAUCUGAGCGGGCUGGCAAGGC
rnacentral:rRNA from 1 species